rnacentral:rRNA from 1 species
GCGCAUGCAGGCGGCCUGUUAAGUCAGAUGUGAAAGCCCGGGGCUUAACCUCGGAAUUGCAUUUGAAACUGGCAGGCUAGAGUCUUGUAGAGGGGGUAGAAUUUCAGGUGUAGCGGUGAAAAUGCGUAGAGAUCUGAAGGAAUACCAGUGGCGAAGGCGGCCCCCCUGGACAAAGACUGACGCUCAGAUGCGAAAAGCGUGGGGGAGCAAACAGGAUUAGAUACCCUGGUAG